AGAGGGAGUUGAGUGGGCAUAGCACCAUGGCCGAGUGCGAAACUAGUGGCUUGCAGGUUCUUCUUGCUACUCUCCAGAGCUCCUAUGACAGGGACGUGAUUCUGAAUAUAUUGAGCAUUCUUACUGAUCUUCUCUCGGUGGGGACAGCCCGGAGGAUUCACUACAUGAUUAGCAAAGGAGGCAGCGAAGCACUUCUGCAGGCCCUGGUGAACGUGGCCCAGACUCCC